rnacentral:lncRNA from 1 species
GUUGCAUUCAAAUUGGAGUUGAAUGGGCCAGCAGGUUGGGCUCCCAUGCCAAUCUUCCUAAGUGUUGGGCUAGGAAUAUUCAGAGUCGUAGUUGGACAUCUUUUCCUUUUUUGUGGUUGGAUUUUCUCUCGACUGGAUGAUGGUUGGACUCCUCUGCCUCCUUUUUAAUUUCCUUUCUCUUUUUAUAUUUAUUACUAUUCCCUUUUUUUCUUUUUUCUAUUUUUUCCUUCUCUUUUUCUUGUU